GAUGAACGCUAGCUACAGGCUUAACACAUGCAAGUCGAGGGGAAACGACAUCGAAAGCUUGCUUUUGAUGGGCGUCGACCGGCGCACGGGUGAGUAACGCGUAUCCAACCUGCCCAUCACUUGGGAAUAACCUUGCGAAAGUAAGACUAAUACCCAAUGACAUCCCACGAAGACAUCUGAAUGGGAUUAAAGAUUUAUCGGUGAUGGAUGGGGAUGCGUCUGAUUAGCUUGUUGGCGGGGUAACGGCCCACCAAGGCAACGACCAGUAGGGGUUCUGAGAGGAAGGUCCCCCACAUUGGAACUGAGACACGGUCCAAACUCCUACGGGAGGCAGCAGUGAGGAAUAUUGGUCAAUGGGCGAGAGCCUGAACCAGCCAAGUAGCGUGCAGGAUGACGGCCCUAUGGGUUGUAAACUGCUUUUAUAAGGGAAUAAAGUGGGUCUCGUGAGACUUUUUGCAUGUACCUUAUGAAUAAGGACCGGCUAAUUCCGUG
rnacentral:rRNA from 1 species